CGACAUAUGUUGUUGGUACGAUGGAUUAGAUCAGCUGAAACACAGUACACGAUAAGGCAGGCUCAAACUGCCGACAUAAAAAUUACAGGCUUAAGUGCUUCACACAGACAGGGCUGAGCGCUUCGGGGUAUUUGGAAUGCUUUGACCUCUAGCAAUGGCAGAACAGCAACAGAAGAAGCUCAUGGUUCAAGUAUUUUUUGAAGGCAAGAACAAAAAGAAGAUAAUACAAAAUUUUGAGUUUGUCGUCAUAGAAGAUGGAAACAAUCCUGGUAUCACAGUCAGACCAGUGCAUACUGAAAGGGAUUCUGAAUUGGAGGAUGUAGAUAUGAGGUUGGUUAUCGACAAUGAAUACAAUCCCGUGUCUGCCCAAGUAUUGGACCGAGAAAAUGUAAUGACAAAAUCAAAUAACGCUGGAGGUAAAGGUUCCAGAGAUGACCUCUUCAAUGAUGCCAUCAAUAAAAAAAAAACCAACGAAAACAAGCAACCUGAAAGUUCUUCAUCUCACAAACCUAAAGAACGAACUGCUGGUACAUCAAAAAAACCAGAAAAUACUGGCAACCCCAAACAAGUUUCCCGCCUGAUUGUCUCUAAGCCUAAAAACACACUAGGGCCAUCAAAUUCAAAGGAGAAGAAAUCCAAUGUGGAGAAUCAACCAGCAGAGAGUGGUCAACAGCAAAUGCAAUAUGAAGACAGGGAGUGUGAGAAGCUAAAACAUAGAAGAAAUUCCCAGCAUCAGGAGGCUUUUCUAAUUCAAACUGAACAUUUUGCCGAUGAGGAAUCACUGAGUAGAAGCAGGAAGGAACAUUCCGAAAGUGAAUUUGCUUUAAUCCGCCCAGUUUCAGUUGAUAAUCCACGAUCUCUUAGCAAGUCCCCUAACAGGCAGUUCAGGCGACAAUGUCUAUCCCCGUCUUCACAUGUAAGAAAUGAGCAAACUCAGUUGCAAGAAUCAAUACAGGGUGAACCUACUGAAGACCAGGGAUCUGUAUGUUACUGAUGUGUCUAAGUUGUCAUUUGUACCGAUUACCUGGUUCAAUUUUUAAGGUACACACAUCAAAGAAGCCGCAUGAAGAACACAAAUCACACCAGGCUGACGAGGACCAACUUGAUCAAAGCCCCCACGGGCAGAAACCAGUAAUUAUACAUGAGCAAAAUGCCAUUCCUGACGAGGAAUUUAAUAUGGACAAAAAUCCUGGAGAGCCAUCUCAACAGCAGCCAGUUAAAAUUAAAAAUGUACUGCUCGCCGAGUUGAAAAUAGUUUCAAAAGCGUCAGUUGACAAAGACUGUACGAAUAACUCGAUCGUGCAGACUUACGUCAGUGAAAAGAAAGAAUAGCCAGAACCUCAGCCCACAAUUAAAACUGUGUCUGUGUAAGCACAUAUAUACUGUAAACGAAAAAUCAAUAAAAACUUUAAAAUGUC